GUAAGAUAGAGAAAAACUAUCGACAUUCUAAACAUAUUGUAAUAUUAACUUGCUAGAAUAGGAGAGACGAAUGCCCAAUUUUUCAAGAAGAAGAAAACGAAAAGCGCAGUUUAUUUUGGUUUUUAAAGAGAGUAAACGAAAAAGAUUAACAACGAGAAAAAGAAAUCAUUUGGAGCGUUUGGAUGCGUAUAACAAAGACGCACCAUUCAAUUAGCCGCAUCACCGGUGACUUGGAGGACGAGCAUUACGUGGAGCUCGCUAUUAGUUUAAGUAAAUAUUUGAUUAUUGUGAUGUUAUUAUUAAAUAAAGCGAAAUAAUAAAAACAAGUAAGGAAGGGCUAAGUUCGGGUGUCACCGAACAUUUUAUAGUCUCGCAUGAUAAAGUGAUAAUCGAGAUUUCUUUAUCCGUCAUUUACAUAUUUUUCAAAUACCGUAUUUUUGUAAAGUUUUAUUCCGCUAACAUCAUUGGUUCCUA